AACGAACGCUGGCGGCAUGCCUAACACAUGCAAGUCGAACGAACCCUUCGGGGUUAGCGGCGCACGGGUGCGUAACGCGUGGGAACCUGCCUUUAGGUUCGGAAUAACUCAGAGAAAUUCGAGCUAAUACCGGAUAAUGUCUUCGGACCAAAGAUUUAUCGCCUUUAGAUGGGCCCGCGUUAGAUUAGAUAGUUGGUGGGGUAAUGGCCUACCAAGUCGACGAUCUAUAGCUGGUCUGAGAGGAUGAUCAGCCACACUGGGACUGAGACACGGCCCAGACUCCUACGGGAGGCAGCAGUGGGGAAUAUUGGACAAUGGGCGAAAGCCUGAUCCAGCAAUGCCGCGUGAGUGAUGAAGGCCUUAGGGUUGUAAAGCUCUUUUACCAGGGAUGAUAAUGACAGUACCUGGAGAAUAAGCUCCGGCUAACUCCGUGCCAGCAGCCGCGGUAAUACGGAGGGAGCUAGCGUUGUUCGGAAUUACUGGGCGUAAAGCGCGCGUA
rnacentral:rRNA from 1 species